rnacentral:tRNA from 1 species
AGGGAAAUAGCUUAGUGGUAAAAUGCGUGCUUAGCACGCACAAGGUCCUGGGUUCAAUCCCUAAUUCCUCCA